rnacentral:rRNA from 1 species
UGUUUCGGCAAGGGGGUCAUCCCGACUUACCAACCCGAUGCAAACUGCGAAUACCGGAGAAUGUUAUCACGGGAGACACACGGCGGGUGCUAACGUCCGUCGUGAAGAGGGAAACAACCCAGACCGCCAGCUAAGGUCCCAAAGUCAUGGUUAAGUGGGAAACGAUGUGGGAAGGCCCAGACAGCCAGGAUGUUGGCUUAGAAGCAGCCAUCAUUUAAAGAAAGCGUAAUAGCUCACUGGUCGAGUCGGCCUGCGCGGAAGAUGUAACGGGGCUAAACCAUGCACCGAAGCUGCGGCAGCGACGCUGAUGCGUUGUUGGGUAGGGGAGCGUUCUGUAAGCCUG